UCUCUGUAAGAAGCAGAUUUUAUUCACCUCUCAAUUUCUAGCAUCUAGCAUAAAGCCUUGUACACAGGCACAUAUUAACUGUUGAAUACAAGAAAGAUUUCUUGAGACUAAGUCAGAGGGAAGCAGAGAGAUGAGGAGCUCUUAAAGGAUUUCUGUGGUCAUUGGAGGAUGUGAUAAAUUAUUGUUAAGGCAGAUAAUGUUCUGAACUUGAGUUUCAUAAUCCUUUGAUUGUGGUCCAUCACUAAUUUGGAAAAUAAUAAAGAAGGCCUGUGCCCAAGUUAAGCACAGUAUUCCCUGUGCCUAGUCCAGUAUCUGGUAUACAGUACAUAGUUUUGAAAUAUGUACUGAAAGAAUGAUUGGAUAUACAAAGGGAUGAAGAAGAGACCAUAACAUGUGGAGGUGGGGUUAAGUGGGAAAGAGGAGUAGAACUUGGAUAUUUUUGCAAGGAGCAGUGUCAAGAGCAUAGGCAUGGAAUUGGGAACAUAGCAGGUGAGAGCAACAAGGAAGAGAGUGGUUGAAUAUUCUAAAGAGGUAUCACCUGAAGGAUGUGAGGUGAAGAUGGGAGAUGUGUAAAUAGAGGGACAGUCUUGGCAGGCACGAAGACUCAGUGAGAUGUCUCCAUGGUUCAGAUGUGAACUGAUCAAGCAUAAACCAGGAGGGAUAUGGAAUUAGAAUGGAAAAGAGCUGUAUGAGAGAUGGAGGAAGGAUUAGUGAGAGAUGUCAGUGAGUGACUCCAUACAGAAAACAGAGAAAGGAAUGAAGAACGACUCCAAGAUUUUGAAGCUCAGAGAAAUGCCCAAAUUAAGCAAGUCCAGAAAAGGAAGCUGGCUGAGCAAGAAAAUGGAAGCAUUUAGCUUUCCCAAUAGCUUUAUAAGAUUGAGGCAGAGUUAGAAGGCAUCGUUACCCUUUUAGAAACCAGGUUAAGACAAACACAUUUUUCUGUAAACUCUUUAAUCAUUGUUUAGUGUGAUCUGUAAUUUAAAUAUCACCACAGUUUUCUUUGCUAAUCUUUCCCCUAGCUGCAAAAGAAAUAUGUGAUUAACAGAGAACUUGGAAAACAUAUGAAGCAA
rnacentral:lncRNA from 10 species